AACGCACAUUGCGCCCUUUGGUAUUCCGAAGGGCAUGCCUGUUUGAGUGUCAUAUAGACUCAUCUAAUCGGGUUUCCGAUCUAGGUGCUUUGGACGUCUGCCGACUUUGGCUCGUCUUAAAUGUCUAAGUGGAAUGCGUAAUAAGUUAUCGCUCCCUCCACUCUAAUCACACUUUAGCUCUGACCUCAAAUCAGGUAGGACUACCCGCUGAACUUAA
rnacentral:misc_RNA from 1 species